UACAGAGGUCCCAAGCGUUUGUUCGGAUUCAUUGGGCGUAAAGGGUGCGUAGGCGGCGCGGUAAGUCGGGUGUGAAAUCUCGGAGCUUAACUCCGAAACUGCAUUCGAUACUGCCGUGCUUGAGGACUGGAGAGGAGACUGGAAUUUACGGUGAGCGGUGAAAUGCGUAGAUAUCUGGAGGAAUACCGGUGGCGAAGGCGGCAUCCUGGACCGGCAUUGACGCUGAAGCGCGAAAGCUAGGGGAGCAAACGGG
rnacentral:rRNA from 1 species